UGCGCCUCUAACGUCGUUGUAAGCUGCGCCAAAAAUCCACGAAGAAGAAGCAGUCAGAGGGUGGAGAAGCAUUUUGACAUGGCAGACAGUCCAAGGUCCAAGCUGCUGUGUCACAACCCGGUUCUUGUCGAUCUUGGAGUCUCCUCAUCAUCAGACUGCCCCUGAUCUUCUCUUCCACUGCAGCCGACAACUUUGCUUUCACUGUGGGUUGAGGUAGUAGGUUGUAUAGUUUUAGGGUCACACCCGCACUGGGAGAUAACUAUUCAACCUACUGUCUUUCUCAAAGUGCCAAGCACACGUCUCAGUCGUCCCUAUAUGGAUCCUGAAGGGCCACCAUUCUGACAGCAGUGUUUUAAUGGAUCUCGAUGUGUUAUUCCAGCUGCUCACACAGUGUGAGGUAGUAGAUUGUAUAGUUGUAGGGUAGUGAUUUUGCCCUGUUUGGAAGAUAACUAUACAAUCUAUUGCCUUCCCUGAGGAGUGGCAUCUCUUCUGUUUUUAUUCCUGCAUUCAUUUUCAAACUAUUUUUCCUCUGUAAGGCAUCCUCACUAAAAACUGCUGUGUUUCCCGAUUUAUCUAAUGAAAUGUUUGGGAACAUUUUACUUACUAAUUUCUUGCUCAGAGAAUUGGUUCUGAGCAGAGGUAAUUGCUCAGCUACAGUAUAUCCAUAAUCAUACAUUAGAUUUGUUUUUAAAAUGUUCUUUUUAUAUUUUAGUUUCACAUAAGUUGUGAUUAUAGAAUAUGAUGAAUACAUGGAAUUUGCUAUGAUAUCAUGUGUUUGUGAAAAUAUUUUCCCUCACAUUUGGUCAGUGUAAAUUUGAACUUACUCCUUUUCUAUUUUCUUGAGCUUUAUAAUAAAAUAUGAUACGGAAAACA